rnacentral:rRNA from 1 species
ACAUAGCGAGAAAAGAACCAACAGGGAUUGCCCUAGUAACGGCGAGUGAAGCGGCAACAGCUCAAAUUUGAAAUCUGGCGCAAGCCCGAGUUGUAAUUUGUAGAGGAUGCUUCUGGGUAGCGACCGAUCUAAGUUCCUUGGAACAGGACGUCAUAGAGGGUGAGAAUCCCGUAUGUGACCGGCCCGCACCCUUUACGUAGCUCCUUCGACGAGUCGAGUUGUUUGGGAAUGCAGCUCUAAAUGGGAGGUAAAUUUCUUCUAAAGCUAAAUACCGGCCAGAGACCGAUAGCGCACAAGUAGAGUGAUCGAAAGAUGAAAAGUACUUUGGAAAGAGAGUUAAAAAGCACGUGAAAUUGUUGAAAGGGAAGCGCCUGCAACCAGACUUCGCGGCAGUGUUCCGCCGGUCUUCUGACCGGUUCAUUCUCUGUCGCGAGGCCAUCAUCGUCUGGGCCCGCCGGAUAAGACCUGAGGAAUGUGGCUCCCCCUCGGGGGAGUGUUAUAGCCUCUGGUGAUGCGGCGUGGCUCGGGCGAGGUCCGCGCUUCGGCAAGGAUGAUGGCGUAAUGGUUGUCGGCGGCCCGUCUUGAAACACGGACCAAGGAGUCUAACAUCUAUGCGAGUGUUCGGGUGUCAAACCCCUACGCGUAAUGAAAGUGAACGGAGGUGGGAACCGCAAGGUGCACCAUCGACCGAUCCUGAUGUCCUCGGAUGGAUUUGAGUAAGAGCAUAGCUGUUGGGACCCGAAAGAUGGUGAACUAUGCCUGAAUAGGGUGAAGCCAGAGGAAACUCUGGUGGAGGCUCGCAGCGGUUCUGACGUGCAAAUCGAUCGUCAAAUUUGGGUAUAGGGGCCAAAGACUAAUCGA